rnacentral:rRNA from 1 species
GAGUUUGAUCAUGGCUCAGGAUGAACGCUGGCGGAGUGCCUAACACAUGCAAGUUCGAGCGGCAGCGCGAGUAGUUUACUACUUGGCGGCGAGCGGCGGACGGCUGAGUAACGCGUGGGAACAUGCCCCAAAGUGAGGAAUAACUGCCCGAAAGGGUAGCUAAUGCCGCAUACGAUCUUCGGAUUAAAGGAUUUAUCCGCUUUGGGAGUGGCCUGCGUACGAUUAGAUAGUUGGUGAGGUAAUGGCUCACCAAGUCUACGAUCGUUAACUGGUUUGAGAGGAUGAUCAGUCAGACUGGAACUGAGACACGGUCCAGACUCCUACGGGAGGCAGCAGUGAGGAAUCUUCCACAAUGGACGAAAGUCUGAUGGAGCAACUCCGCGUGCAGGAUGAAGGCCUUCGGGUCGUAAACUGCUUUUAUGAGUGAAGAAUAUGACGGUAACUCAUGAAUAAGGGUCGGCUAACUACGUG